rnacentral:rRNA from 1 species
AGAGUUUGAUCAUGGCUCAGAGCGAACGCUGGCGGCGUACUUAACACAUGCAAGUCGAACGAGGAUCUUCGGUGUAGCAAUACAUUGGCGGUCCUAGUGGCGCACGGGUGAGUAACACGUGGGUGACCUGCCCUAGAGCUCGGGAUACCCCCUCGAAAGGGGGGCUAAUACCGGAUACGUUCCUUGGUCGAAAGAUCGAGGAGGAAAGGUGGCGCAAGCUGCCGCUCUUGGAGGGGCUCGCGGCCUAUCAGCUAGUUGGCGGGGUAACGGCCCACCAAGGCUAUGACGGGUAGCUGGUCUGAGAGGACGACCAGCCACACGGGGACUGAGACACGGCCCCGACUCCUACGGGAGGCAGCAGUGGGGAAUUUUCCGCAAUGGGCGAAAGCCUGACGGAGUGACGCCGCGUGUGGGACGAAGGCCUUCGGGUCGUAAACCACUGUCAGUGGGAAAGAUGGGUGUCGGGGCUAAUACCUCCGGCAUCUGACGGUACCUGCAGAGGAAGCCCCGGCCAACUCUGUGCCAGCAGCCGCGGUAAGACAGAGGGGGCAAGCGUUGCUCGGAAUUACUGGGCGUAAAGGGCGCGUAGGCGGGAUGGCAAGUCGGUCGUGAAAUCCCUCGGCUCAACCGAGGAACGUCGAUCGAUACUGCUGUUCUUGAGGAUUGCAGAGGAGACUGGAAUUCCCGGUGUAGCGGUGAAAUGUGUAGAGAUCGGGAGGAACACCGGUGGCGAAGGCGGGUCUCUGGGCAAUUCCUGACGCUGAGGCGCGAAAGCGUGGGGAGCAAACGGGAUUAGAUACCCUAGUAGUCC